GCGGAGACGAAUCAAGACAGACCAAAGAGACUCGGGCCGUCUCGUGGGCAAAAUGCGAGUGCAGAGCUUCGCCCAAGAUGGCGGAAACUACAGGCGCUGAGAGCCCCACUGAUGCUGCAUGUGAUGUUCAGGCAAGAAUCAAAGGACACUUUGAACGUUUCUGGAAGCAGCUGGAGCGCAGGCUACGCCACACAGCACUGACCCUUUUACACGGAAACCGCGGCCGGAUGCCCAGCACCAUGACACUCAAGCGACACCACAGAAGACGAGGCAAACCAUCCAAAACAAGAAAAGCAGAGGGGCAACGUUAAGCCCAAGGAAGAAAAUCCAGAGCAAGACACAGCACCCUGGCCCUCAUCUGCCGGGAGAAAAGACACUGCUACAACAUGGAGGACAACCUGAGUGGAACCCAGAAAGUAACCCCCUAGACAUCAGCACGGCCCAGAUGGUGAGAUCGAGCGACUAUCUCCGAGCGGUGCAUAGCCAGGGCAUUGGGUGAAGUACCCAUGAUAAGGGGACUGUCUAACACGAGGUUACCAGCAAAUGAUCAGACCUUAACAGUUUAACAUACCUACCACAGCAUACUGAACGAGGUGAACCGCACCUGAAUACUCAUGAGACUCUACUUUCAUAUAUUUUCAUACUUACUGUUUCAUAUUAAUAUUUAAGCACUUGCUUUCCUUUUAUUUUAUUAAGCAUGCCUUACUCACCUCAGCCCUGGUGGGGCAGCGCAAGCACCAGCGGGUGGUUAAACUGCAUAAUAAGCGACUCUACCCUAGCAGGUCAUAUCAUAUAAGCAAAAAGUCUAACCUCAAACAAGCACAUGCACAAGUUAAAUGGUGUCGCUAG